rnacentral:lncRNA from 1 species
AUAACUCCCAAAGGCAUGCCCCAUCUCUUCCAGCAACAUCCUACCUGCCUACAGUUACUUAAAUCUACUAAUUUAAGCUCUGAACAUCCUUGCAUUGUUCCACACAUGAGCUUUGGGUAACAAGCUUGAUUCAAAAUAAAAAAAAAUACAGGUACCUGUUCAUAUACUGAAAAUGUCAAGGUGAUGACAGCAUAGAACUAAGACAAGUGUGGGAUCCUUCUAGGUUCAGCACUUACAUGAGUGCAUAGAUCACACGAUUGUGAAGGCAGCCUUGCCCCAGACAUUAAAAACUAAAACUAAUAAUAACACUAUGCCACCAGUCAAGACCUUUCUCCCCCUGUUACUUAGAAAACCUCAAGUAUUCCAUGCUGUUUUCACUUCUGUGACUUCCCUUGCUCAGACUGUUUCCUUUGUCUGGAGAAAUCAUACUGUUCUUGCAAACUCAGUUUAGAUCUAUUAAACUCUAGCCGUGCUACUCCUGACCUCUCCUCUCCUCUUACUUCUAACUUUGAUUAAAUGUACCUCUUCUAUGCUACUAUGAUCCCUCGUGUGUGCUUUUGUGAUAGAUUCUAUCAUUAAGUUGUUUAUAUAGUUUUCUCUCUCUCAGUCUGUGAGCUCUUUGAUUUUCCCCUUGACAUCCCAGAGCUGGCAUGCAGUCUGUGCAUAAUAAAAGUUUGUUGAACAUAAAAUUAAAAACAAACUUAUUUUAGGAAUAAAAUUCAGAAUUUUAAUUCUGUAAUUCAUUUCAAAACAGGACAUAUAAUUCUUCUCUUUGCACAAACUUAAAAGUGCAUGUUUUGAUAGCAUCUAUCAGCUACAGUGUUAAAACACAGACUUCACUCUAUGUUAUGAAGAUUAGAGGGAAUAAUUUGACCUUUAAAGUUAGAUAUGAGUCUAUACUACAGCUAUUAAAAUCCAAUUUUAACUCAAUU